GACGAACCGUGCGAACGUUGUUCGGAUUCACUGGGCUUAAAGGGCGCGUAGGCGGGUCAGCAAGUCCGGGGUGAAAGCUUUCGGCUCAACCGGAAAAGGGCCUUGGAUACUGCUGGUCUGGAGGAAGGUAGGGGCGUGUGGAACUUCCGGUGGAGCGGUGAAAUUCGUAGAUAUCAAGCGGAACACCGGUGGCGAAGGCGGCCUUCUGGACAGUGACGUGACGCUGAGAUGCGAAAGCGUGGGGAGCAAACAGGG
rnacentral:rRNA from 1 species